CAAACUAACCAAAACAAAACCUAAACCUUCCAACGUUUGCCUCAGGGAUUUCCAAUGCACAUGACAUGUUAAAGGUUGUUAUCCCCACAAAUUUGAGUCAUCUUUACACAAGCACAUACUUAAUUAAAGCCACUACUCACUAGUUCACAAGUAAUCAAUUAAAACAAUGCUUUGAAUGUAGUAACAUGCCUUAGAAAGUUCCCUCAAUUCCUUACAAGAUAUACACUCUAUUUUCACUCAGAUUUUCUAACUCCACACCCUACACUAGUCAUAUGUGAGAAGAUUGAUGUAAAUAUGGAAACGAAUGCUCACAUAUAUGUAUCACAAAGAACGCAAUUUCUAGAGUUAAGAAGCAUGUUUAGAUAUGAUCUCAUGAAUGGAAUGCUACUACUUAGAUGCGAGAACCAGUGACACCAUAUGCUCAUACCAAAUUCAAACUCCACAAAUUGAAACACAUAACACUCAAGAUAGAAGUUAAGGGUUGUAAUGGGGCUUGGGGUGUUGGUUAACAAGGAAAGGAUAGGGAAAACAAACGUUCUUCAAGCAAUAGUAAGCACAGCAAUGAAAUUGAGACUUAGAAUUCACUUAGAUUGCAGAAAUUAACUUUAAAACACAAGGGGGAGACUUAAACAACUCCUUAGGGUCAAAUUCAUUGUUUUGGACCCUUACUUCAACAAACAAUACUUUGGAACUCUUUUUCUCAACUUUUCAACUUUUUUUUCAUUCUUCUCGUAUUUUUUUUUUCUUCAAUUUUUCUUUUCUUUGCCGUGCCUAUGGCACACAAUUCCUCAUGAAAAACACUUCCCCCACACUUAUUUUCUGCUAACAUAGAUCACAAGGAAUUCAAUUCGAAUCAUGCUUUACUAUGCUUUAAGAACAAGGGUAUGGAUAGUCCUAAUCUAAGGCUAGGUGAGGGUAAUGUGGGUUAACAAAGAAAAGGCUAAACAAGGCUCAACGGGGUUAAACUUAAACAUAUAAUGGAGUAGGGCACACGGCUUUUUGGCUAAGGUGGUGGUCACUACACAACUUCAUCUUGAAUAUGUGUUAUGCAAUUCAAUGACAUGCUUUGAAUGAAAUGGGCAUGAGUUCUAGCAUUUGGAACUAAAUGAUGAAACGCCUUCUAAGUAGUAACCAAGCAAAGAAUAAUGAGAUCAUGCAACGACUUAGAAAACAAAGAAUGCACAGAUUUUAACUCUCCAAAUAAACGUUUAGGCUCAAGUCUCACAAGGUUGUAGCGUUAGUUUGAGUUCCUUCCUUCAAGCAUGUUACAAAAACUGAUUUUUUUCUUUUAUGAUUGCAUGUGAAUUCAUAAGUUAUAACCACAACUAAGCAUACACAAAGAGUAAAUCAAACUUUCAUCCAUGUUAAUCACUCUCUUUAACAGCCAUGUAAUUACAAACCGAAUCCUCAUCAUUGUGUUGGAAGGUACCCUAAGACACAAACAAACACACAAAAACAACUCUUUUUGGGUUUUUAAAACAAAUUUUUCAAAUUUUUAUGUAAUUUUCGGAUUUUUACUUCAAAACACAUUAAAACACAUCAAAACUGCUCAAAAACACUUAAAAACAGCAAGGAACAAGUCUUCAAGUUUAGGGUGAUAAAAUCCCACGAAUUUGCAUCUAAAACACUUAGUUACCCCCCCACACUUAAAUCAAACAUUGUCCUCAAUGUUUCAAGCAUAAAAUCACACUAAAAAAAAAGAAACACACAAACAGCAACUAAAACAACUAAAUAGGCAGAUUCGAAAUAAAUAACAAAGGGAAGAGUUUAGGAACGCAAAUCUGGAAUUGGAGUGAUUCCUUGGUCUUCCUUUGUUGAAUUGCAUGGGUUGCCUCCCAAGUAGCGCUUUCUUUUACGUCUUGCAGCCGGACGAAAAACACAAUCAUGCCCUAUUGGAGCCCACGGCACUCUCAUACAUUGCAUCUUUGAACGGUAAUGGAUAGUGAUGUUCGUUGAUGGGUGCGUUGUGUUGCCUAAGGUUCACGUACAUGCGCCCACCAUCGGGGAUUUGCUUGGGUACCUGCACCAUAGAAGGGAACCACCUCUUAAUUUUAAUGGGAAUUGGAUUUGGACUAGGUGCCUUACCUUGGUGUUGUGAUGAAGUGGCAGCAACAUGAACUGUUUUCCUCAUGGUAUUCUCGGCCACAUGGGGUAUCUUAAGGGCAGUGGCCGUGGGGUCCUCAUGCUCCACUCCAAUUCCCUCAUCUUGCAUGGUUCUUGAAGCAACCUUUGUGUUAGGGGCUGAAUGAUCCGUCCCUAUCUUUUCUAUCGUAUCAAUAACACAACAAGAACGAACAACGUUAGGAGUCUCAAUGGAUUCAGGAAUUUUAAAACAAAUCAUAUCACCACCAAAUGCCAUAGUUACUUCUCCUUUGGCUACAUCAAUCUUGGUUUGAGCCGUUUUCAUGAAAGGCCGUCCAAGGAGAAUGGGCAAUGAAGGAGCAUGGUCCGAUUCAUCCAUUUCGAGGACAUAGAAAUCCGCCGGGAAGACUAAAUGAUUAACCUGCACAAGAACAUCUUCCAAAACUCCCUUUGGAUAGGCGUUAGAUCUAUCAGCCAAUUGUAUUAUUACACCAUCCUGUUUAAGUGCUCCUAGAUUCAUAGAUGCAUAAACAGAAUAUGGCAUAACAUUAAUAGAUGCUCCUAAAUCUAGCAUGGCAGAUUUGAAACGGGUAUUACCAAUGACACAUGGAAUUGUAAAGCUCCCCGGAUCUUUGCAUUUGGGGGGUAGUUUACGUUGCAAGAUGGCGGAGACAUUCUCGCUUACAUGUACCACUUCUUUCUCCCGGGCACGUUUCUUUGUCGCACAAAGCUUCUUUAAACACUUGGCAUACUUCGGGAUUUGCUUUAUUGCAUCAAGGAGGGGAAUGUUGACAUUGCACCUUUCCUAAACGUCUCUAGAACAUCUUUUUCCUCCUCUUCGUUCUUGGAUUGCAAAAAUCUACUAGGAAAGGGGACAUUCAAAGGAAAAACAUUAGUAGGACUUGAAUUUAACACAUUCUUACCCUUAUUGGACAGAUUUGCAGGUUUAGGGUCAUUGGAGGCUUGCGGCAAAGGUGGAACCACCCUUGCCGUGGGUUGCUUUGAUUCCUCCUCUUCCAUUUGCAAAAUUUCAUCCUCGUUAUGACCUGUUUUUGAUGAAGAACCUGCCCCAACUUCUUUUCCACUCCUUAGCAUGAUUGCAUUUGCGGUUUCAAAGCCUCCUUUUGGAUUCGCAAUGGUUGAACUAGGAAGCUUUCCUUGUUCUCUAAACUGCCCAACAAACUCGGCAAUCUGCCCAAUUUGUUUCUCAAGUUGAUCCACCCUUUUGUCUUGGAUUUGCAUAGCCUUAGCUUGAUCUUCCUGUCCAUUAGACAACUUAGUUAGUAUCUUAAGAAGUGCAUCAUUGUCAAGAGACGUACCUGAGGCACUUGGGCCGGAUUGGGCUUGAUUUUGGGGUGGGCCGUAGGUUUUGGGAAAGAACCCCGGGGGUUGUUGCCUAAAGCCUCCUUGGUUCUGAGGUUGCUGGGGCUCCCUCCAUUUGAAGUUUGGAUGGUCCCGCCACCCCGGAUUAUACGUGUUGGAGUAUGGAUCAUGCCUUGACUGAUUUUGGCUUUGAAACCCAAUGGCAUUCGCACUCUCCCAUUCGCCAUUCUCGAUGAGUUGAGGACAUUUUUCGGAGACAUGUCCUUGGAUAGAACAUACGCCACACACCACAGGUCCUUGUAUCUUCAUUCCCUCGGCCAUCUGUGAAACAAUAGAAGUAAGAUUAGCCAAUUGUGAAUGAAGAUCGGAAGUUGAACUUACCUCAUGUACUUGGUGCCGUGGGGGUCCCCUUUGGCCUACACCCUCGUAUUGUUGAGCGUUCAACGCUCUAUUAGCAAUCAAGACCUUGGCAGCCAUGGGUGUUUUGUCCACUAAUGCCCCCCCCGCCGAAGCAUCAAGCAUUUGACGUUCUAGAGGUAAUAGACCCUCGUAGAAAUAUUGCAAAAGCAACUCCUCCUUCAUCUGAUGCUGUGGACAAGAAGCAACAAGUGAUUUAAAUCGUUCAUAAUAUGUAGAGAAAGACUCACCUUCUUCUUGCUGAAUUCCGCUUAUCUUUUUGCGUAGGAGGAUGAUGCGAGAAGUUGGAAAGAACUUCUCCAAGAACGCUCUCUUCAUACUCUCCCAAGAAGUGACAGUGCCGGGAGCUAACUCAUAUAACCAAUCCUUGGCUUUAUCCAUCAAAGAGAAUGGAAAAGCCUUCAUCUUCAAGAUAUUUCCGUCAACAUUGACGGGAGUCAUACUAGAGCAAACUACUUCAAAUUCUUUCAAAUGUUUGUUAGGAUCUUCCAUGGACAAGCCAUGGUAUUUAGGAAUAUGAUGAAGCAAACUUGACUUUAAUUCAAACUCAUCCGUCUUACCUUGGGCAGCCGCGGGGUAUUGGAUGCACAAGGGUGUGCGGCAUUAUCCAAACCCGAGGCGGAAAGCUCCUUGAGUGUACGAUUGUCCAUGGCCAUGCCUUGGACUUCUUCAAAUAUCCCUGCCGUGGCUUCCUCCUCCUCUUCUUGUAUGUUUUCUUCAAGGUCAGAUUCGGAAUUGAGUGGAGGGUGUUCUUGCUGAUUUCUAGCUCUUCUCAAAUUCCUCUCAAAAUCGUCGUCAAAAUCCAAGAUGUUCACACGAAUCGGUUGAGAGCUUCUAGUCAUACAUUAGUACCUAAGAACAAGAAACAAAAUUAGGUCAGAAACUUAAACAAAGUCAGAAACAAAGUGAAAUAAAAGAAACAAAAACAAUCCAAGGGAUUAGCAAAAUUGCUAAUCCCCGGCAACGGCGCCAAAAAUUUGAUGUGAAAAUUAACUUGACACACAAAUUAAACCCUCUUUUUGUCAAAUUGUAGCAAAGAUGUAAGUAGGGAUCGUUCUAGACCGGGGAUUAGGAGGGAUUGCUAAACGCUUGGAAACUGACUUAAACACUCAAAAACAAAGUUAAAAACACUAAACUAGACUCAAAGAAUGCAAAACUAAAAGUUAAAACACUUAAACAAACCUAAAAACCAAAACAGCAACUAGAAGGCUCAAAACUGCCUAAAAACCACUUUCUGGGCAGUUUUGAGCACCUACACUAAUUUGGACGAAAUUUGAUGAAAACUUGAAUCAAAAUACUUAGAAACACAAAUCAAAACACUUUCUAACUAAUCUAAGACUUCAAAUUAAAGGGGGAUUUGUUUUGGACGAAAAUUAAACUAAAGAAAACAGAUUGGAAAUAGGGCAGAUUGUAAAAACGAUUUUGGUGAAAUAGAUGGUUAAAAGGCUAGUUAGGAGGUUCUUCUCCACACAUGUCACACUUGCAAACAAAACGAUUUUCAGUUGUUCUUCCGAUAAACUUAUGAAUACUCAACGCCCCAAGUUAACCGUGAAUUACACUAAUUAACCCUCAGUUUUUCCACAAGUUAUUAAGUUGGAUGAUUGCAUAUGACAACCCAAAACAUUCCCUACAAGUUCCCUACAUGAAUUGCAUAAUAGAGAUACAAGCAAGAAUCAUUACGUUCUAUGAAAAAACAUAAGCAUUGACGAAGCAUUUGUUACUAUGAAUUGCAUGAAACUUAUGCUAAGAAUUCAUUCAACGCGAUCGUUUUCAAGCGAUCUUCACUACUUGUGAUUAUAAGAUUGUAACUAUUAGGUGAAACUCCCUCAUAAUCUAGCAUCAUAUUCAUGCAUGAAAACUAAGCGUGCACUCUCAAUCAACAUACACAAAUAAGUUUAUCAAUCAAAUAGAUGAACGAAUUGAAUCCAUAACUUAUGAAAUAACAACUGAAUGUAAUCGAAUCAAAUUGCAAGCAUGUACAUGGUUUCGAAUCACCCCCCAACUAAGGGGGUUUAGUUCCUCAUACUCACAACACAAAGUUUAUUGAAUUGAAACAUCGAAGACAUAAGAAAGAUUACACCUAAAAUGCCAAAGAAUUCCACUUUGAAUUCUGCACAGCAAGCUCCUCUUUCUUCUUCUCCUUGCUGCGGCAGAGAGGGUUUAGGGGAUUUUUGGGUAGUUUUGGAUGAUUUUGGACGAGGGAGAAUGGUGGAAAAUGUCUAGGAUGGGUGUAGGGCACGGCUAGGAAGGUUUGGGGUCAGAAAAUAUGGAGUUGGGUGAAGGUUGGGCUCGGCAAAGGUGAGGGACAGGUUCUGGCGUGAAUGGAGUUUUCUGGAUGUGUUUUUGGGUUUUUGAAAGGUAGAUAGGAUAGUAUGGUGGUGCGGCAAGGUGUGUGGAAUGGUUUAUGGAGGUGGAGAAUGGUGUAUGGAUGUGUGGAAUGGUGCUGGAAUGGAUGGAAGCUGCGGCAAAAGGUGGGAAAGGUUGCUGGAAUGGGUGGUGGCUGCGGCAAGGAGGGGAUUUGGGUGAUGGUGAUUUUCUGAUUUGUGUAGAGGGAAUGAUGAUGUGCGGCUAGGGUUUAGAAAUAUAUAUAUAGGCAUUUAAAAACCCUAGCAAAUCAGAUUAGGGCCUCUAAAACACAAAUCCAUCAGAAAUUAGGUUGAAACAAUUAGACAUUUAGUGGGAAAAAGGGCCUAGGGUGCGGCUGGUAUGUGGGCUAAGGUUAGGGUUUCUAGAAACCCUAACAAGGCAAGGCAAAGUGAUUCUAGAGGGCCCAGGUGCGGCAUAGGAUGAAGGUCCAUAAGGAAUUUGGGUUUAGGUCAUCUAAAAGCCCAAAGCCAAGAAUAGAAACUCACGAAAAUGGAAACCUCCAAGAAUAGAAACUUCCAACUUUUAGAAACUUGGGUUGCCAAUUCCGGUUUAGGAAAGAUCAACCCAAAAUGGAAACUUUUAGGCUUAGCUUUCCUACAUCAAGUAGGAAACCUCAAAUCUUCAACUCUUCAAUUCCAUCCCAACCUUGUGUUCCAAGCAUGUCCUUUUCAAUCCAAGCUCACUUUCUUGCUCCAAAAGCUCCAACUUGCAUCAUUUCAUGUAAUACGUCCUUUAACCUGAAAACACAUGAAAGUAGCUUAAAAGACUACUUUAACGAAGAAAACAUAACAAAAAUGCAUAAGAACUAGCUAACUAAGGCGCAUAAAUAUGCUCCUAUCAAAUGCCGUGGUCUUCUCUUUGUAAAUUCGAGCAUUCUCAUAAGCUUCAUGCCUAAUCUCUUCAAGUUCACUCAAUUGAAGCUUUCUAUGAAUUCCAGCUUGGUCCACAUUCAAAUUGAAUGUCUUGAUAACCCAAUGUGCCUUGUGUUCUAAUUCCACGGGAAGAUGACAUGGUUUGCCAUAAAUGAGCCGAAAUGGAGACAUACCAAUGGGUGUUUUUAAGCCGUACGAUACGCCCGUAGUGCAUCAUCUAAAUGCAAGCUCCAAUCUUUUCUAUUUGGCCCAACGGUCUUCUUCAAAAUCUGUUUGAUUUCCCUAUUUGAAACCUUGGCUUGGCCAUUUGUUUGGGGGUGAUAAGGCUUUGAAACUUUAUGCGUCACAUUAUACUUCUUAAGUAGCGCCUCAAUGGUGUGAUUGCAAAAAUGAGACCCCCCAUCACUUAUGAGCACCCUAGGCAUCCCAAAUCUGGAAAAGAUGUUAGAUUUCACAAACUCUGCAACAACUUUAGAAUCGUUAGUUCGGGUGGCUUUUGCUUCCACCCACUUCGAAACAUAAUCAACCGCAAGUAAACCAAAAGAUGAAGGAAAAGAACCCAUAAAAUCGAUACCCCAAACAUCAAAAAUUUUAACAAGGAUGGGAACCUGCGACAUUUGGUCUUUUUGGCCUAUAUUUCCUGUCCUUUGGCAACGAUCACAUGUUAAGCAAAAGGUUCUAGCAUUUUUAAACAAAGUAGGCCAAUAAAAUCCACAUUCAAGAACCUUAAAAGCUGUCCUUUGGGUGCCAAAAUGACCCCCACAUGCAUAGGUGUGGCAGAAACUUAAAAUUGAAUGAAAUUCGGACUCAUGCACACACCUACGUAGAAUCUGAUAUGGGCAAUAUUUCCACAAGUAUAGGUUAACCCAAACAUAAAAUCUGGCAUCCUUUUUAAGUUUAUCACGUUGGAACUUGUUAAGAGUGUUGGGAACUUGUUUAGACACCAAAUAAUUGACCAAAUCAGCAUACCAAGGCUCACUUACCUUAAUGGACAGUAGUUUCUCAUCUGGAAACAUUUCUGGAAUGGGAAUGGACUUCUCUUCACCCACCAAUCGACUUAAGUGAUCAGCCACCACGUUGUCACUCCCUUUCUUGUCUUUAAUUUCAAUAUCGAACUCUUCAAGAAGAAGCAUCAGACGAAUGAGUCUUGGUUUUGCUUCUUUAUUUGUGAACAAGUACUUCAAGGCUGCAUGAUCAGUGAAAAUAAUGACUUUAGUGCCAAUUAAAUAAGAUCGAAACUUAUCUAAUGCAAAUACAACAGCCAAUAGUUCUUUUUCAGUUGUGGAAUAGUUCAAUUGAGCAUCAUUUAAAGUACGGGAAGCAUAAUAAAUAACAUGUGGCUGCUUGUUUUUCCUUUGUCCUAAAACAGCUGAUGCGAAAUAUAUAAGCACACAAAUUAAACUCUCUUUUUGUCAAAUUGUAGCAAAGAUGUAAGUAGGGAUCGUUCUAGACCGGGGAUUAGGAGGGAUUGCUAAACACUUGGAAACUGACUAAAAAACUCAAAAACAAAGUUUAAAACACUAAACUAGACUCAAAGAAUGCAAAACUAAAGGUUAAAACACUUAAACAAACCUAAAACACAAAACAGCAACCUAAUGACUCAAAACUGCCUAAAAACCACUUGCUGGGCAGUUUUGAGAACCUAACAAGAACUUGGACGAAAUUGGGUGAAAACUUGAAUCGAAACACUUAGAAACACAAAUCAAAACACUUUCUAACUAAUCUAAGACUUCAAAAUAAAGGGGGAUUUGUUUUGGACGAAAAUUGAAAACAAAACAGAAACUUAAAACUAAACAGAUUGUAAAACGUUUUUGGAUGAAAAGGAUGGAUAAAAGGCUAGUUAGGAGGUUCUUCUCCACACAUGUCACACUUGCAAACGAAACGAUUUUCAGUUGUUCUUCCAAUAAAUUAUAAAUACUCAACGCUCCAAAUUAACCGUGAAUUGCACUAAUUAACCCUCAGUUUUUCCACAAGUUAUUAGGUUGGAUGAUUGCAUACGACAACCCAAAACAUUCCCUACAAGUUCCCUACAUGAAUUGCAUAAUAGAGAUACAAGCACGAAUCAUUACGUUCUAUGAAAAACAUAAGCAUUGACGAAGCAUUUGUUACUAUGAAUUGCAUGAAACUUAUGCUAAGAAUUCAUUCAACGUGAUCGUUUUCAAGCGACCUUCACUACUUGUGAUUAUAAGAUUGUAACUAUUAGGUGAAACUCCCUCAUAAUCUAGCAUCAUAUUCAUGCAUGAAAACUAAGCGUGCACUCUCAAUCAACAUACACAAAUGAGUUAUCAAUCAAAUAGAUGAACGAAUUGAAUCCAUAACUUAUGAAAUAACAACUGAAUGUAAUCAAAUCAUAUUGCAAGCAUGUACAUGGUUUCGAAUUACCCCCCAACUAAGGGGUUUAGUUCCUCAUACUCACAACACAAAGUUUAUUGAAUUGAAACAUCGAAGACAUAAGAAAGAUUACACCUAAAACGCCCAACAAUUCUACUUUGAAUUUCUGACUUCAAGCUCCUCUUUCUUCUUCUCCUUGCUGCGGCAGAGAGGUUUUAGGGUAUUUUUGGAUGUGAUUUUGGUUUUAGAAGGGAGUUAGGAUGGUAUGGUGGUGCGGCAAGGGGUAUGGAUGGUGUAUGGAGGUGUAGAAUGGUGGCUGGAGGUGUAGACUGGUUGCGGCAAGGAGUGGGGAGUGGCUGGUUUGGAUGGAGGAGUGGCGGCUAAGGGUGUAAGGAUGAUGGUGGCUGCGGCAAGGUGGGGAAAUAAGGUUGGAAUAAUUUCUGAAGUAUGGAGAGGUGAUGUGUGCGGCUAGGUGUAGAAAUAUAUAUAUAGGCACUUAAAAAUCCUAGCCAAUCAGAUUAGGGUUUCUAGAAACCCAAAUCCACCAGAAAAAUAGGUUAAACAAUCAGAAAUUUUGUGAGAAAAGGGCCUAAGGUGCGGCAAUUAAGUGGGCUAGGGUUAGGGCUUCUAGAAAGCCUUGCAAGGCAAGGAAAUAUGUGUUCUAGAAGGGGAAAGGUGCGGCUGGUUAGUGGGAAUGUGGAUAGGGCUUCUAAAAAGCCCAAAACCAAGAGAAACUAAGCCCUAACCCACGGCAAGGAUGACAAAAUAUUCUAACACCUUUCUUUGUGUCUUCCAACGCUUCGGAACCUUCUAAUGUUGCUCAAACGCAAGGCCAUUCCGGUUUAGGAAAGAUCAACCCAAAAUGGAAACUUUUAGGCUUAGCUUUCCUACUUCAAGUAGGAAACCUCAAAUCUUCAACUCUUCAAUUUCAUCCCAACCUUGUGUUCCAAGCAUGUCCUGAUGUGUAAAUUAACUAGCACUCAAAUUAAACCCUCUUUUUAUCAAUUGUAGCAAUGUAUGUAAGUAGGGAUCGUUCUAGACCGGGGAUUAGGAGGGAUUGCAAAAUCACUUGGACAUGACUCAAAAACGUAAAAACAAGUUUUAAACACUAAAAUAGACUCAAAGAAUACAAAACUAAACUUUAAAACACCAAAACAAACCAAAAGACUCAAAACAGCACCAAAACACUCAAAACUGCCUUAAAAACACAAUCUGGGCAGUUUUGGACACUAAGCACCAAAUUGGACGAAUUUGGGUUUUAACUUGAAUCAAAACACUUAAAAACACAAAGUAAAACACUUACUAACUAAUUUGACACUUUAAAACAAAGGGGGAUUGGUUUUGGCCGAAUUUAAAAACAAAACAAACUUUGUAAAUUAGAACAGAUUGUAAAAACGAAUUUGAUUUAAAUGGGUGAAUGGAAGGCUAGCUAAGGGGUUCAUCUCCCCACAUGUUAUACUUGCAUACGAAACGAUUUCCAAUUGCUUUUCAAUAAACCAUGAAUUCUCAAUGCCCCAAGUUAAUUAGGUCCGCUUAAAUUAACCUUCCGAUUUUCCUAACGGUAUUGAAUUGGAUGAUUGCAUACGACAACCCAAAACAUUCCCCACAAGUCCCCUACAUGAUUGCAUAAUAGAGAUACAAGCAAGAAUCAUUAAGUUCUAUGAAAACCAAAAGCAUUGACGAAGCACUUGUUACUAUGAUUGCAUGAAACUUAUGCCAAGAAUUUACUUAACGCGAUUGAGAUCAUCAACCUUUACUACUUGUGAAUAUAAUUCCAAACGAUUAGGUGAAAUUUCCUUAUAUCCUAGCAUUCAAUUUAUGCAUGAUAAUUAAGCGUGCACUCUCAACCAACACACACAAAUCAAUGUAAUCCACAUAGAUAAGUAAAUUGAAUUCACAACUUAUGAAACGCAAUUAGAAGUAAUCAAAUCAUAACGCAAGCAUAAACAUAUAUUUCGAAUCCCCCCCUAGCCAAGGGGGGGUUUAGUUCCUCAUACGCACAAAACAAAGAGAAUUGAAUUUAAACAUUGAAAUCAAAGGAAAAGAAACACCUAGAAAUUCCAGCGACGCGAACUUGAAUUGCAUGAACUUCCGAGCUUCCUUCUCCUCCUCCUUGGUGCGGCAAGGGUCUAGGGACAGGUUUUAGAGCCUUAGGGGUAUGGAUGCAUGGUUAUGGAGGGAUGUAGUAGUGUUUAGGGAAAGGGAAAUGGUUGCGGCAAAGGUGUGGAGAGGGUUUGGACGAAUUUCUGGAGUGAUUUGUGAAUUGUGGCGAGUGGUGAUCUGAUUUAGGGGUUAAUAGGAGUAUAUAUAGGCACUUAAAACCCUAGGGUAAUCAGAUAUGGACUUGGAUAACCCAAAUCCACAAGGAAAUAGGUCUAAACAAUCAAAUUUUGCAAGGGAAAAGGGGUCCUAGGUGCGGCAGGGAUAGGAUAAGGUGAUAAGGUUUCUAGAAUGCCUUGCAAGGCAAGGAACUAGGCAUCUAGAAGCUAGGGUGCGGCACCAAUGUAGGGAUUUAAGGAUAGGGCUUCUAGAAAGCCCCAAAACUGAUAGGAAUUGCAUGAAACCCACGGCAAAGAUGUAAACUUUCUAGAAACUUCUCAUUUGUGUCCUACAACACUUUGGAGUCCUUCUAGCACUAGGAAAACAUGUCUCAAUCCUCCCUUGACUUGGAAUUCUUCUCCUUCUUCAUCUUGGAUUCCUUUUCCUUCUUCAUCUUGGAAAACUUCUUUGUUGCUGAAACUUGAUGCCAUUUGGAUUUAACUUUCCUACUUCAAGUAGGAAACCUUGUUUGAGUAGGAAUCUUCAUCUUCAAGGAAUCCUAAUUCAACUAGGAAACCCAUUUUGACUAGGAAUCCUAAUUCAACUAGGAUUCCAUCUUCACUUAGGCGCUUUCCUACUUCGACUAGGAAACCUUGUUCAAGUAGGAAACAUCAUCUUCAAAUCUUCAAUUUCGUCCAUCCUCUUGGCUCCAAGCAUAUGACAUUCAUUCCAAGCUCAACUUUGCUCCAAAAGGCUCCAAAAUGCAUCAUUUUGCAUACUUUGCCCUUAGAACCUGAAAACACAUAAAACUACCUUAAAAGACUACUUUACUUAAGCAAAAACACUAUAAAUGUACAAGAACAAGCUAAACUAAGGCGCAUAAAUAUGCUCCUAUCAUCUGGGAAUGUCUCUAUGAUAGGCACGACAUCCUCCUCAUGCACCAUACGGCUUAGGUGGUCAGCCACCACGUUUUCACUUCCCUUCUUGUCCCGGAUUUCGAUAUCGAACUCUUGAAGAAGAAGCAUCCAACGAAUGGGUCGUGGUUUGGCCUCCUUCUUGGUGAACAAAUACUUCAAUGCUGCAUGGUCCGUAUAAAUAAUAACUUUAGUACCAAGCAAAUAAGAACGGAAUUUAUCUAAAGCAAGUACAACAGCAAGAAGUUCUUUUUCAGUGGUAGAAUAAUUCAAUUGUGCAUCAUUUAAAGUCCGAGAGGCAUAAUAGAUAACAUGCGGCCUCUUGUCCUUCCUUUGCCCCAAAACAGCUCCUGAUGCAUAAUCGGAAGCAUCGAACAUAAGCUCAAAAGGAAGGCUCCAAUCCGGUGGAACUAUGAUAGGUGCCGAAGUUAGCAUGUCCUUGAGGUGAUUGAACGCCUUCUCACACUCCUUGUUGAAGAUGCCACAUCUUUCUGGAGGAGACGGCAAAGAGGGUUUGAGAUCUUGGAGAAGUCCUUGAUAAAUCGCCUAUAAAAUCCUGCAUGACCAAGAAACGAACGAACCUCUCGAACCGAAGUAGGAGAGGGUAAGUAGCGUACAAGAUCUAUUUUCGAUUUAUCCACUUCAAUUCCUCUUUCUGAAACAAUAUGCCCUAGAACUAUGCCUUGUCUAACCAUAAAGUGACAUUUUUCCCAAUUAAGCACAAGGUUAGUUUCUACACAUCGUUUCAAAAUUAUUGUGAGAUUUUCCAAACAUCCAUCAAAUGAAUCACCAAACACACUGAAAUCAUCCAUAAAUACCUCAAUAAUCUUUUCCACAAAAUCUGAAAAGAUACUUACCAUACACCUUUGAAAUGUGGCCAGAGCAUUGCAUAACCCAAAAGGCAUGCGACGAUAAGCAAAGGUACCAAAGGGGCAUGUGAAAGUUGUCUUUUCUUGGUCAUCCGGCGCUAUGACAAUCUGAUUAUAUCCAGAAUAACCAUCAAGGAAACAAUAAAAAGAAUGACCGGCUAACCUUUCAAGCAUUUGAUCAAUGAACGGCAAAGGGAAGUGGUCCUUCCUUGUGGUGGCGUUGAGCUUCCUAUAAUCAAUGCACACUCGCCAACCUGUUUGGAUGCGGGUUGGCACAAGCUCAUUCUCGGCAUUCUUCACCACUGUCACUCCGGACUUCUUUGGAACACAUUGCACCGGUGACACCCAACGACUAUCAGAGAUCGGAUAAAUCACUCCACAAUCAAGAAGUUUGAUAAUCUCCUUUUUCACAACUUCCAUCAUUGGAGGGUUGAGACGGCACUGAGCCUCUCGAGUUGGUUUAGCCCCCUCCUCUAGAAGUAUGCGAUGCAUGCACGUAGUCGGGCUAAUUCCCCUAAUAUCGGCCAAAGUCCACCCAAUGGCCGUCUUGUGCUCUUUCAACACUCGGAUCAACUUCUCCUCCUCUAGGGCCGUGAGUGAUGAGGAGACAAUGACGGGCAAUGUCUCGUUGUCUACCAGAAAGACAUACUUUAAAUGAUCGGGCAACGGUUUAAGCUCAAGUACGGGUGCCUGAAUCACUGAGGGUAACAACUUAUUAGUGGAAACUGGAAUUGAAAUUGGGUUAGAAGGCUUACCAUGGUGUUGAGGUAGUGACUCAAGGGCAGCCACUAUCUCGGCCUCCUCCUCACUUCUAGGCACGGGGAUUAGGAGGGAUUGCUAAACACUUGGAAACUGACUUAAAAACUCAAAAACAAAGUUUAAAACACUAAACUAGACUCAAAGAAUGCAAAACUAAAGGUUAAAACACUUAAACAAACCUAAAACUCAAAACAGCAACCUAAUGACUCAAAACUGCCUAAAAACCACUUUCUGGGCAGUUUUGAGAAACCUAACAAGAACUUGGACGAAAUUGGGUGAAAACUUGAAUCAAAACACUUAGAAACACAAAUCAAAACACUUUCUAACUAAUCUAAGACUUCAAAAUAAAGGGGGAUUGUUUUUGGACGAAAAUUGAAAACAAAAACAGAAACUUAAAACUAAACAGAUUGUAAAAACGUUUUUUGGAUGAAAAGGAUGGAUAAAAGGCUAGUAAGGGUCCAAAACAAUGAAUUUGACCCUAAGGAGUUGUUUAAGUCUCCCCCUUGUGUUUUAAAGUUAAUUUCUGCAAUCUAAGUGAAUUCUAAGUCUCAAUUUCAUUGCUUUGCUUACUAUUGCUUGAAGAACGUUUGUUUUCCUUAUCCUUUCCUUGUUAACCAACACCCCAAGCCCCAUUACAACCCUUAACUUCUAUCUUGAGUGUUAUGUGUUUCAAUUUGUGGAGUUUGAAUUUGGUAUGAGCAUAUGGUGUCACUGGUUCUCGCAUCUAAGUAGUAGCAUUCCAUUCAUGAGAUCAUAUCUAAACAUGCGUCUUAACUCCAGAAAUUGCGUUCGUUGUGAUACAUAUAUGUGAGCAUUCGUUUUCAUAUCUACAUCAAUCUUCUCACAUAUGACUAGUGUAGGGUGUGGAGUUAGAAAAUCUGAGUGAAAAUAGAGUGUAUAUCUUGUAAGGAAUUGAGGGAAUUCUCUAAGGCAUGUUACUACAUUCAAAGCAUUGUUUUAAUUGAUUACUUGUGAACUAGUGAGUAGUGGCUUUAAUUAAGUAUAUGCUUGUGUAAAGAUGACUCAAAUCUGUGGGGAUAACAACCUUUAACAUGUCAUGUGCAUUGGAAAUCCCUGAGGCAAACGUUGGAAGGUUUAGGUUUUGUUUUGGUUAGUUUGUUUCGUUUUGUUUUCUUUCUUUUGUUUGUUUUGCUCGAGGACUAGCAAAAGCUAAGUGUGGGGGAAUUUGAUAGGAGCAUAUUUAUGCGCCUUAGUUAGCUAGUUCUUAUGCAUUUUUGUUAUGUUUUCUUUGUUAAAGUAGUCUUUUAAGCUACUUUCUUGUGUUUUCAGGUUUAGCGGACGUAUUACAUGAAAUGAUACAAUUUGGAGCUUUUGGAGCAAAAAGUGAGCUUGAAUUGAAAAGGACAUGCUUGGAACGCAAGGUUGGGAUGGAAUUGAAGAGUUGAAGAUUUGAGGUUUCCUACUUGAAGUAGGAAAGCUAAGCCUAAAAGUUUCCAUUUUGGGUCGAUCUUUCCUAAAUCGGAAUUGGCAACCAAAGUUUCUAAAAGUUGGAAGUUUCUAUUCUUGGAGGUUUCCAUUUUCGAGAGUUUCUAUUCUUGGCGUUGGGCUUUUAGAUGACCUAAACCCAAAUUUCCUUGUGGACCUUCAACCCAUGCCGAACCCUAGGGCCUAAUCAUCUAAAAUCUGCCAUGUUAAACCCUAGUCCAUUUCUCCUAAACCCAAGCCGCACCUUUCCACCUAGAAGCCCUAUUUUACAAACCCUAAACCCUAGUCCACUUAAGUGCCGCACCUAACCCUAGCCCAUUGUUAAAAAUCUGAUUUCAUUAGGGUUUCUAAGUGCCUAUAUAUACCACCCUUACACCCUAGCCGCAGAUAUCAUUCCCUCUACACAAAAUCAGAAAAUCACCAUCACCCUAAUCCCCUCCUUGCCGCAGCCACCACCCAUUCCAGCAACCUUUCCCACCUUUUGCCGCAGCUUCCAUCCAUUCCAGCACCAUUCCACACAUCCAUACACCAUUCUCCACCUCCAUAAACCAUUCCCACACCUUGCCGCACCACCAUACUAUCCUAUCUACCUUUCAAAAACCCAAAAACACAUCCAGAAAACUCCAUUCACGCCAGAACCUGUCCCUCACCUUUGCCGAGCCCAACCUUCACCCAACUCCAUAUUUUCUGACCCCAAACCUUCCUAGCCGUGCCCUACACCCAUCCUAGACAUUUUUCCACCAUUCUCCCUCGUCCAAAAAUCAUCCAAAACUACCCAAAAAUCCCCUAAACCCUCUCUGCCGCAGCAAGGAGAAGAAGAAAGAGGAGCUUGCUGUGCAGAAUUCAAAGUGGAAUUCUUUGGCAUUUUAGGUGUAAUCUUUCUUAUGUCUUCGAUGUUUCAAUUCAAUAAACUUUGUGUUGUGAGUAUGAGGAACUAAACCCCCUUAGUUGGGGGGUGAUUCGAAACCAUGUACAUGCUUGCAAUUUGAUUCGAUUAACAUUCAGUUGUUAUUUCAUAAGUUAUGGAUUCAAUUCGUUCAUCUAUUUGAUUGAUAACUUAUUUGUGUAUGUUGAUUGAGAGUGCACGCUUAGUUUUCAUGCAUGAAUAUGAUGCUAGAUUAUGAGGGAGUUUCACCUAAUAGUUACAAUCUUAUAAUCACAAGUAGUGAAGAUCGCUUGAAAACGAUCGCGUUGAAUGAAUUCUUAGCAUAAGUUUCAUGCAAUUCAUAGUAACAAAUGCUUCGUCAAUGCUUAUGUUUUUCAUAGAACGUAAUGAUUCUUGCUUGUAUCUCUAUUAUGCAAUUCAUGUAGGGAACUUGUAGGGAAUGUUUUGGGUUGUCGUAUGCAAUCAUCCAACUUAAUAACUUGUGGAAAAACUGAGGGUUAAUUAGUGCAAUUCACGGUUAACUUGGGGCGUUGAGUAUUCAUAGUUUAUCGGAAGAACAACUGAAAAUCGUUUUGUUUGCAAGUGUGACAUGUGUGGAGAAGAACCUCCUAACUAGCCUUUUAACCAUCUAUUUCACCAAAAUCGUUUUUACAAUCUGCCCUAUUCCAAUCUGUUUUCUUUAGUUUAAUUUUCGUCAAAACAAAAUCCCCCUUUAAUUUGAAGUCUUAGAUUAGUUAGAAAGUGUUUUGAUUUGUGUUUCUAAGUAUUUUGAUUCAAGUUUUCAUCAAAUUUCGUCCAAAUUAGUGUAGGUGCUCAAAACUGCCCAGAAAGUGGUUUUUAGGCAGUUUUGAGCCUUCUAGUUGCUGUUUUGGUUUUUAGGUUUGUUUAAGUGUUUUAACUUUUAGUUUUGCAUUCUUUGAGUCUAGUUUAGUGUUUUUAACUUUGAUUUUGAGUGUUUAAGUCAGUUUCCAAGCGUUUAGCAAUCCCUCCUAAUCCCCGGUCUAGAACGAUCCCUACUUACAUCUUUGCUACAAUUUGACAAAAAGAGGGUUUAAUUUGUGUGUCAAGUUAAUUUUCACAUCAGUGGGGAAAUAGGGUUGGAUGAAUUUCUGAAUUGUGUAGCAAUGAUAUCCCCGCGGCAAGGAUGUAAAACACAUAUAUAUAGGCACCUAAAACCCUAAAGAAAUCAGAUUAGACUAUGGGCUAGGGUUUAGGUGCGGCAAAGGGCUUAAAGUCCAUCAGAAAAUAGGGUUUCUAGAACAUUAGGUGCGGCCCAAACCCUAGGGGAGAUAGAUUAGGGUUUAACUUGGCAGAAAUUAGGUGAUUAGGCCCUAGGGUGCGGCAUAGGCUUAGGAUCCACAAGGAAUUAGGGUUUAGAUCAUCUCAAAGCCCAAAGCUAAGAAUAGAAACUCACGAAAAUGGAAACCUCCAAGAAUAGGAACUUCCAACUUUAGAAACUUUGGUUGCCAAUUCCGACUUCUUUGUUCUUCACUUUUAUUUCUUCAUUUCUUAAGCUCCUUUGACCUUCAAACUCGUCCAUUCCUCGUGCUCCAUUAGCAUACACAACAUUCCGGCUCAAUUUUGCUCCAAAAAGCUCCAAAUUGCAUCAUUUCAUGUAAUAUGUCCUUUAAACCUGAAAACACAUGAAAGUAGCUUAAAAGACUACUUUAACGAAGAGAACAUAACGAAAAUGCAUAAAAACUAGCUAACUAAGGCGCAUAAAUAUGCUCCUAUCAAAUUCCCCCACACUUAGCUUUUGCUAGUCCUCGAGCAAAACAAAGAAACAAAAGAAAAACAAAAUGAAACAAAACAAACAAAACACAACCUAAACCUUCCAACGUUUGCCUCAGGGAUUUCCAAUGCACAUGACGUAUUAAAGAUUGUUAUCCCCACAGAUUUGAGUCAUCUUUACACAAGCACAUACUUAAUUAAAGCCACUACUCACUAGUUCACAAGUAAUCAAUUAAAACAAUGCUUUGAAUGUAGUAACAUGCCUUAGAGAAUUCCCUCAAUUCCUU
rnacentral:lncRNA from 1 species